rnacentral:rRNA from 1 species
GACGAACGCUGGCGGCGUGCUUAACACAUGCAAGUCGAACGGAAAGGCCCUGCUUUUGUGGGGUGCUCGAGUGGCGAACGGGUGAGUAACACGUGAGUAACCUGCCCUUGACUUUGGGAUAACUUCAGGAAACUGGGGCUAAUACCGGAUAGGAGCUCCUGCUGCAUGGUGGGGGUUGGAAAGUUUCGGCGGUUGGGGAUGGACUCGCGGCCUAUCAGCUUGUUGGUGGGGUAGUGGCUUACCAAGGCUUUGACGGGUAGCCGGCCUGAGAGGGUGACCGGCCACAUUGGGACUGAGAUACGGCCCAGACUCCUACGGGAGGCAGCAGUGGGGAAUAUUGCACAAUGGGCGGAAGCCUGAUGCAGCAACGCCGCGUGCGGGAUGACGGCCUUCGGGUUGUAAACCGCUUCCGCCUGUGACGAAGCGUGAGUGGCGGUAAUGGGUAAAGAAGCACCGGCUAACUACGUG